rnacentral:rRNA from 1 species
AUUGAACGCUGGCGGCAGGCCUAACACAUGCCAGUCGAGCGGAUGAAGGGAGCUUGCUCCUGGAUUCAGCGGCGGACGGGUGAGUAAUGCCUAGGAAUCUGCCUGGUAGUGGGGGAUAACGUCCGGAAACGGGCGCUAAUACCGCAUACGUCCUGAGGGAGAAAGUGAGGGAUCUUCGGACCUCACGCUAUCAGAUGAGCCUAGGUCGGAUUAGCUAGUUGGUGGGGUAAAGGCCUACCAAGGCGACGAUCCGUAACUGGUCUGAGAGGAUGAUCAGUCACACUGGAACUGAGACACGGUCCAGACUCCUACGGGAGGCAGCAGUGGGGAAUAUUGGACAAUGGGCGAAAGCCUGAUCCAGCCAUGCCGCGUGUGUGAAGAAGGUCUUCGGAUUGUAAAGCACUUUAAGUUGGGAGGAAGGGCAGUAAGUUAAUACCUUGCUGUUUUGACGUUACCAACAGAAUAAGCACCGGCUAACUUCGUG